rnacentral:rRNA from 1 species
AAGUCGAACGAACUCUGGUAUUGAUUGGUGCUUGCAUCAUGAUUUACAUUUGAGUGAGUGGCGAACUGGUGAGUAACACGUGGGAAACCUGCCCAGAAGCGGGGGAUAACACCUGGAAACAGAUGCUAAUACCGCAUAACAACUUGGACCGCAUGGUCCGAGCUUGAAAGAUGGCUUCGGCUAUCACUUUUGGAUGGUCCCGCGGCGUAUUAGCUAGAUGGUGGGGUAACGGCUCACCAUGGCAAUGAUACGUAGCCGACCUGAGAGGGUAAUCGGCCACAUUGGGACUGAGACACGGCCCAAACUCCUACGGGAGGCAGCAGUAGGGAAUCUUCCACAAUGGACGAAAGUCUGAUGGAGCAACGCCGCGUGAGUGAAGAAGGGUUUCGGCUCGUAAAACUCUGUUGUUAAAGAAGAACAUAUCUGAGAGUAACUGUUCAGGUAUUGACGGUAUUUAACCAGAAAGCCACGGCUAACUACGUGCCAGCAGCCGCGGUAAUACGUAGGUGGCAAGCGUUGUCCGGAUUUAUUGGGCGUAAAGCGAGCGCAGGCGGUUUUUUAAGUCUGAUGUGAAAGCCUUCGGCUCAACCGAAGAAGUGCAUCGGAAACUGGGAAACUUGAGUGCAGAAGAGGACAGUGGAACUCCAUGUGUAGCGGUGAAAUGCGUAGAUAUAUGGAAGAACACCAGUGGCGAAGGCGGCUGUCUGGUCUGUAACUGACGCUGAGGCUCGAAAGUAUGGGUAGCAAACAGGAUUA